rnacentral:rRNA from 1 species
UACGGGGGGAGCAAGCGUUGUUCGGAUUUACUGGGCGUAAAGGGCGCGUAGGCGGCCAGCGCAAGUCAGUUGUGAAAUCUCCGGGCUUAACUCGGAACGGUCAACUGAUACUGCGCGGCUAGAGUGCAGAAGGGGCAACUGGAAUUCUCGGUGUAGCGGUGAAAUGCGUAGAUAUCUGGAGGAACACCGGUGGCGAAGGCGGCAUUCUGGACCGACAUUGACGCUGAGGAGCGAAAGCCAGGGGAGCAAACGGG